GAAGAACAAGCUUGAAACUUUCCAUGAUGACUUUAAGCUUCUUGACUCCGUAAGCUCUUGGGGAGCUUGCGCUUUUGAAGUUCCACCAUUGAGCCUAAUCUCAGGGACUGAUCUUGACCUUUCAAGGAUAUUCAGAGAAUCACUUGUGCUUUCUACUUGAUCUAGACCACUGCCUAUGCAUGAGAUUGAUCGUCUCGUUUCUUGUUUCACUUUGUUGGUCUCUUCACUGGAUCCGGUAGGUACUUUCGUCUCUGAAAGUGCAAGUACUUCGCCUAAGGCCGUUGAAACCUUGGGGAAGUUUUUUGGUUGCUGUGUGUCUCCGUUUAGUGACAUCAUUGCCCAUCUCUCAGAAAGCCGUUUCUUUGCCUCUCUGUAGACAGAUGAGUCUGGAGAAAACGAGACUCGGCUCAACGAAGACGAAGAAAAAGGACUCUCAAACUUGUUUGCACAGUCCCAUGAAUGCCUAGAGGAUGGUGACAUGAUCUCAGAGUUGGUAAUAUUUCCCACUAGAUAUUCGUAAUUUGACCUGUUUAACGAACAAUCAUCACCCAUA